rnacentral:rRNA from 1 species
UAUAUCUAAUAUAGAGGGAAUUUUACUUUGAGAAAAUUAGAGUGCUUAAAGCAGGCAACUGCCUUGAAUACUCCAGCAUGGAAUAAUAAGCAAGGACUUUUGUCUUUCUUAUUGGUUCUAGGACAAAAGUAAUGGUUAAUAGGGACAGUUGGGGGCAUUCGUAUUUAACAGUUAGAGGUGAAAUUCUUAGAUUUGUUAAAGACGAACUACUGCGAAAGCAUUUGCC